UACGAAGGGGGCUAGCGUUGCUCGGAAUCACUGGGCGUAAAGGGUGCGUAGGCGGGUUUUAAGUUCAGGGGUGAAAUCCUGGAGCUCAACUCCAGAACCUGCCUUUGAUACUGAAGAUCUUGAGUCCGGGAGAGGUGAGUGGAACUGCGAGUGUAGAGGUGAAAUUCGUAGAUAUUCGCAAGAACACCAGUGGCGAAGGCGGCUCACUGGCCCGGUACUGACGCUGAUGUGCGAAAGCGUGGGGAGCAAACAGGG
rnacentral:rRNA from 1 species